rnacentral:rRNA from 1 species
UACGUAGGGGGCAAGCGUCGUCCGGAUUUAUUGGGCGUAAAGAGCGUGUAGGCGGCCAGGUAGGUCUGCUGUGAAAACUCGAGGCUUAACCUCGAGCUGUCGGCGGAAACCAUCUGGCUAGAGUCCGGAAGAGGAGAAUGGAAUUCCCGGUGUAGCGGUGAAAUGCGCAGAUAUCGGGAAGAACACCCGUGGCGAAGGCGGUUCUCUGGUACGUGACUGACGCUGAGACGCGAAAGCGUGGGGAGCGAACAGG